GAUCCUGGCUCAGGACGAACGCUGGCGGCGUGCCUAACACAUGCAAGUCGAACGGAAGCAGAGAUUUCGGUUUUUGCUUUAGCGGCGAACGGGUGAGUAACGCGUGAGGAACCUGCCUUUCAGUGGGGGACAACAGUUGGAAACGACUGCUAAUACCGCAUAAUACUUUCGAGCGGCAUCGUUUGAAAGUCAAGAUUAUUGCUGAAAGAUGGCCUCGCGUCUGAUUAGCUAGUUGGUGGGGUAACGGCC
rnacentral:rRNA from 1 species